rnacentral:sRNA from 12 species
GCUGUGGAGAGCCAAACAAACUGUAGUAGCCAAGGCGAGGCAGGGCUCGUUGAAGCAGUUA